rnacentral:lncRNA from 1 species
UUAGCUCGCCAUGCCCGUCGCCGCUUCUCCUCUAUCACCUAGCACGAGUUUCUGACCCACACAUCUGCGACCUCCGUUCCACCUCGUCGCUACGCCAUCUUGUCCGGCGGCCGAGCCGGGACUGACCGUCAAGCUCGUAACCCCCCUCGUUGUCGUGCUUAAUUCCGCCAGGAUUGGAGCCUUUUCCACCUGCAGUUUUGGCCUCUGAGGCUCUGAUCCACCUCGCCUGAGCGCCGUCUCGGUUUGGAGACGAGGCCAACUGGGAUAGGCUCUCACGCCAUGCAGGAGACAUGAGGGUGGAUUACCAGGCGACAUUGCAUCUCAGCAUUGUACAAGUAGGCGACGAGGAUGAAGCACAUGUAAGUCCCGACUGAUGCACUAGUUUGAAACUGGAUUGCACGUAGCAUAGUUUGUAUUGUUCUUUUUCCAUUGGGAAUUUCCAUUAUUUUAAGCAUUGUAGAGUUCUUCUCAAUCGCUCGGAUUUGUUCAUCCAAUUUUGUUAACUCCGUCGCAUGAUUAUGUCUCGGAUUGCAGGAAGCACAGAAGAAGGUAGUAAGAUGCAACACGUCUUUCCACAAGGGCACGGUGCCUGUGACAAUCUUCGCAUUUAUGCUUGCGGAUCAUGUCACUGCCGUAGAUGGUGCGGUGCUUUGUGAUCACCAUGGAAGCAAAUUCUCCGUUUAACCGAGACAAAUGUUCUAGAUUGCGGAAACAUAUUCCCAUGCUUAAAUAUAUGUUUUCCUUUUUGAUUGAAACAAAUAUAUGUUGGUAUGGAAGAAAUAUUGUGAUAUAUGAAACUAGUAAGCAAAAUAUAUAUUUUCUGAAGCAUUGUGUCCGCAUUGUGCCCAAGCGAUGCAAAACCUGG